UCCCAAUUUGUGGAAAUAGGAUGUCAGUAAUAAUAUCCAGGAUCGCAGAUACUAGUUUGGGAAAUAACAGAAUGAGGAGCCUGGAAUACAGCCAAAUAUGUCAGCAGAAGUUUUGACAGUGAAAUGGGGUGGGUGGCGUAUCUUCAGAAUUCGAUGUAUUAAUGAGGACACUCCCUGGUAUUUGACUGUGGGAAAGAACUGUCGAAGUACUGACCUUUGUGUUUAUUCCAAUCAAUUUAAUCCCAAUAACACAAUUGAAAUGGCUUAUAGUAAUAAGCUUAAACUUCCCAGACAUUUAUGAUGCUGCCUGACCUGCAGAUCAUCGUUUUGCCUUUUUAGUUUAUUUGAUUUUCAAAGCAACUUACAGCAUUAAUUUCUCAUCGAGUUGCAGAACUGCAGAGGAAUCUAUGACUUGUAGUUACAUGUCCUGGCACUCCCUGAGAUGCCUGCAACCUUAUCAGGUGGACGUUGCCUGGUGUUGGGGAGUGGUUCUAGUGCUGUUCCUGCUGUAUGAAGCUAAAGAUGCCAUUGACAGAAGCACAGGGAAUUGAUGUCCUGGCCCCCCAUUGUUGGUUAUCAGGAGAUAUAGUAAGUCUUGUGUUCAUUAGGUAGCACUCCUGCCUCUGAGUCUGAAGAUCCAGGUUUAAGGCCCUCCUCUUGUCCUGUUAGACAUAGAAGGAACAUUCGUGAUGCAGCUCAAACAGUUGAUACUCAGCCUGCAGAUUCUUCCAACAAUUCCCCAUCCGUUUCCAAAGGAAAUUAAAUUUAAUGUGAUGAUACUGAACAAACAAGCAAAGGUUGUAAGUCAGUCACAGUCCCAGACUUAGUUUGCCUAUCUUAGGUAGCAGCAGGGUCCACCAGUGUUAGGGUGAGGUGUUAAGAAGAGUUUAAAGGUCCAUCUUGGGGAGCUAUGUGUGCAUUCAUUCUCCAUGGCAAAUGUAAUUCUGCAGUGAAAGUGCAGAACAUGCAAUAUUGGUAAAAGUGUCUAUAUAGGUCUCCAGGGUGCUCUCUUGAGCCAGUGUUAGACCCUUUGGGUAUGUGCAAGUAGGAGGCCUAACAAUUGGAGGGGUGGCAAUCAAGAGAGUUUAUUUUAGUAGUACCCUAACAUGAAGUUAGGAGCUUCACCUGGUUCUACUAUAAUUAAAUAAAACUUAUCUUUUGGCAUCUUUGAAAAUGUUUGGUUUGGCUGCCAAGUACCUGACAAUACUAAACAACCCUUGUUUGUGCAGGCUAUGGUCGCCUACAAACAAAUUUUGCAAAGAGAACCUCAAACAGAUGUUAAGCCUUCAAUUUGCAUGCAAAGUGCCAAACACUAUUUCAUGUGUGCACCUGGGUAUCUAUUUAGAUAUCUUGCAUGCUGUGCAUUUGUAAUUCUUUAAUGAUGUGGGUAUGCCUUCUGCCAUAUUGGCCCUUAGACACCCAAUUUAUGGUUAUAAAACAGGCAUGGCCUGAUCCAAUUUCUAGCUCUGCACUUUUACAAAAUGUGUUGGUGAAAGUGAUAUCACAACAUUGACCCUGCAGCUGAUUAGAUUCAGGAAGCACAGGAAGAUAACAUGGAUUUUGCAGUACAACAUGUGUUACUGCUUGACUGUUUUAAAGUUCAUUCUUUUCACAGAAUCAACAAAAUCCCUCCAACUGCUACAAGAUUAACAGGGUCAGCUUCAUGACUGUGAUUAAUCAUAGCAUGUGACUUGGUAUCUCCCACAAACAACAGCCUUUCCAGCAGUGCAUAUGUUCCUGCUAUUCUGGUUGAUCCCACAUUUACAACUAACCUGUCGAUUUCAAAUAAAGCUUUCUUCCCGACCCCCCACUCCCAACCCCACCCCCACACCUUUCUGAGGAUUUAGACAGCCGAUAUGUUCUCCAUUGUCUAGUUUUCUUCCAAGUAUACAACAGAAUUAUCUAAACAAUAUGCUGUGUGAAAUACUGAACUCUGCAUGGUGCAUUGUGAGAAAAUAAAGGAUUGUUAUGCGAUUUUCAUUUA